rnacentral:misc_RNA from 1 species
UUUCCGUAGGUGAACCUGCGGAAGGAUCAUUACAGAGUUCAUGCCCUCACGGGUAGAUCUCCCACCCUUGAAUAUUUAUACCUUAGUCGCUUUGGCAGGCCGUGGAAACACCAUGGACUCCGGCUUAUGCGUGCCUGCCAGAGGAAACAAACUCUGUUUUUAGUGAUGUCUGAGUACUAUAUAAUAGUUAAAACUUUCAACAACGGAUCUCUUGGUUCUG